ACGGGAGGCAGCAGUGAGGAAUAUUGGUCAAUGGGCGAGAGCCUGAACCAGCCAAGUAGCGUGAAGGAUGACUGCCCUAUGGGUUGUAAACUUCUUUUAUACGGGAAUAAAAAAGGCCACGCGUGGCCUCUUGUAUGUACCGUAUGAAUAAGCAUCGGCUAAUUCCGUGCCAGCAGCCGCGGUAAUACGGAAGAUGCGAGCGUUAUCCGGAUUUAUUGGGUUUAAAGGGAGCGUAGGCGGGUCUUUAAGUCAGUGGUCAAAGCGUGUGGCUCAACCAUACCACGCCAUUGAUACUGGAGACCUUGAGUGCACAUAAGGAUGGUGGAAUUCGUCGUGUAGCGGUGAAAUGCUUAGAUAUGACGAAGAACUCCGAUUGCGAAGGCAGCUGUCUGGGGUGUAACUGACGCUAAUGCUCGAAAGUGCGGGUAUCAAACAGGAUUAGAUACCCUGGUA
rnacentral:rRNA from 1 species